rnacentral:rRNA from 1 species
CACGUAGGGUGCAAGCGUUGUCCGGAAUUAUUGGGCGUAAAGGGCUCGUAGGCGGUCCGUCACGUCGGGAGUGAAAACUCGGGGCUCAACCCCGAGCCUGCUUUCAAUACGGGCGGACUAGAGGUAGGUAGGGGAGAACGGAAUUCCUGGUGUAGCGGUGGAAUGCGCAGAUAUCAGGAAGAGCACCAAUGGCGAAGGCAGCUCUCUGGGACGGUACUGACGCUGAGACGCGAAAGCGUGGGGAGCGAACAGG